rnacentral:rRNA from 1 species
UACGGAGGGAGCUAGCGUUGUUCGGAAUUACUGGGCGUAAAGCGCACGUAGGCGGCUUUGUAAGUUAGAGGUGAAAGCCUGGAGCUCAACUCCAGAAUUGCCUUUAAGACUGCAUCGCUUGAAUCCAGGAGAGGUGAGUGGAAUUCCGGAGUGUAGAGGUGAAAUUCGUAGAUAUUCGGAAGGAACACCAGUGGCGAAGGCGGCU